GUAGGAUCCAAGCGUUGUCCGGAUUUACCGGGGUGUAAAGGGGUGCGCAGGCGGGCUUGUGCGUCAGGGGUUAAAUACUUCGGCUUAACCGAAGAGCUGCCCUUGAUACGGCAAGUCUUGAGUGAUGGAGAGGAUGAUGGAAUUCCUGGUGUAGCGGUGAAAUGCGUAGAUAUCAGGAGGAACACCAGUGGCGAAGGCGGUCAUCUGGCCAUUCACUGACGCUCAGGCACGAAAGCGUGGGGAGCAAACAGGAUUAGAUACCCUGGUAGUCCACGCCCUAAACGAUGUAUGCUUGGUGUUGGAUGCUUGCAUUCAGUGCCGGAGGAAACCCGUUAAGCAUACCACCUGGGGAGUACGAUCGCAAGGUUG
rnacentral:rRNA from 1 species